AUGAAUUUCGUGCGAUGAAAGGGCUUCCCCAGUCAUACAAUACUCUAAUACACUUGUAGGAAUCCUCGAAGAACGGACCAUUAACUUGAGAGCUGCUGUGAUCGAAGCAGCCCCUCCGUAACUACCACAUGUACUUAGCUGUUGCAGUUCUUGAGAAGUAGGAAGUGUGCCUCCACAGUGAGAGUAAUUUUGUGACUCCUUUUUUAUUUAAGUACUUCGGGCCUGUUCGAAUUCCACAAUUUUUAUUCGUUUGUAUUAUUCGAAAAUCGAUUCAAAGAUUUCGAUCAAGUUUGUUCAAAGAGCGAGUCUUCAAAAUGAGAACCACUGUGGCAGGAAUCUGGCCGGAGGGUGUGGUUUUUGCAGCAGUAAUUUUUGCCUCCACAGCGGCGGACUGCCCUUCUUUCAGAGAAUUCUUUUCAAAAUGUAAGAAGGAUUCACCUUCCUUCGAUGGAUGCUUGGUAAACCAAUUGAACAGAGUGAAGCACUGUUAUUCUCACGGUACGUAUCUUAAAACGGUUUAUUAAAUACCUUUUUGAAUUCUACCGUCAUCGAUUUUUUUCGAAAAUCUAGUCCUGAUUUUUACGUUUUAUAAUAUACAUAUUAGAUAUCAAAUAAUACACGUGGCACUAUUUUCUUGUAUUGGUAUUAGCGAUCUUCUAUUUUUUUCUUUUAGGUGAUACCUCAUUGGGGAUUCCAUCUUUGAUCCAAUCAGAUAUGGUGACGCGAUUGGAGAACCGGUGACAACAACUAUGCGCUACGGCAAUUUAUUCGAUUGCAAACUCAUACUUCCAAAUUUAACUGAGUGGGCAUGGUCCAAUUCAACUUACACUAAAGUCAAGACCGACCUCAAACGUAAAAUGGUGCAAAUUUACCAGACCGUACCGCUGAAGCAUGUGAAAUCCGAUGUUAUUGGCAGUGGUGAGAUCUUGGGCGUCCCUUUCUUCCACAGGAAAGGAGAAGCUGUUCUCGAUAUGAUUGGAGUGAAGCAAAAGUUCACUAUCCAGAUGCAACCAAACGGACAACUUAAGGUGAAUUUGGCCAUUCUUAGUUUCAACGAUAUGGCUUUGGCAUCUCGAGGUCUCCUUCACGACGAAUUCGUAGAAAAAGUAAUCAACAAUUUGAUGAGACGCUUUUGGAGACUAGGAUAUCCUUUCUUCCAAGGCUUCGCGUAUGAAAUAUCAGACAAAGCCAAGACCAUGCUGUUCAACCAACUCUUCAAACAAAUAGACUGGGAAUCCCUCUUCGGACAGUCUUUUCCAGGGGCUCCUUCUCAUAUCAGGCGGUAA
rnacentral:lncRNA from 1 species